GCAUUGGCGGACCGGCGCACGGAGAUUCAGAGAUCUCGAGGCCCGAUUUCGUUUGGGCCUACGAAAGGUAGGCUACAGACGGCAAUUUAAUGUGCAUCCGUAAGCGACGAUAGACCGGCCGUUAAAAUAGAUCGUUACUGUAUACACAGUCUUUUGGAGUAAUAUUGAAAGGUGUUAUACACGUUAGAAAAAACAACAGUAAUUUGUUCCGUAUAGGUUUAAAGGUUAGGUUAGGUUUGGGCGGUAGGUUAUUUCG